rnacentral:rRNA from 1 species
CCGCGUGUGUGAAGAAGGCCUUCGGGUUGUAAAGCACUUCGGCCGGAACGAAAUCGCGCGGGCUAACACUCCGCGUGGAUGACGGUACCGGAAGAAGAAGCACCGGCUAACUACGUGCCAGCAGCCGCGGUAAUACGUAGGGUGCGAGCGUUAAUCGGAAUUACUGGGCGUAAAGUGUGCGCAGGUGGCCGCGCAAGUCGAGUGUGAAAGCCCCGGGCUUAACUUGGGAAUUGCGCUCGAAACUACGUGGCUAGAGUGUGGCAGAGGAAGGUGGAAUUCCACGUGUAGCGGUGAAAUGCGUAGAGAUGUGGAGGAACACCGAUGGCGAAGGCAGCCUUCUGGGCCAACACUGACGCUCAUGCACGAAAGCGUGGGGAGCAAACAGGAUUAGAUACCCUGGUAGUCCACGCCCUAAACGAUGAUGACUAGUUGUUGGGGGAGUUAAAUCCCUUAGUAACGCAGCUAACGCGUGAAGUCAUCCGCCUGGGGAGUACGGUCGCAAGAUUA